rnacentral:rRNA from 1 species
GACGAACGCUGGCGGCGUGCCUAAUACAUGCAAGUCGAACGCAUUUUCUUUCACCGUAGCUUGCUACACCGAAAGAAAGUGAGUGGCGAACGGAUGAGUAACACGUGGGUAACCUGCCCAUCAGCGGGGGAUAACACUUGGAAACAUGUGCUAAUACCGCAUAAUUCCAUUUACCGCAUGGUAGAUGGAUGAAAGGCGCUUUUGCGUCACUGAUGGAUGGACCCGCGGUGCAUUAGCUAGUUGGUGGGGUAACGGCCUACCAAGGCUGCGAUGCAUAGCCGACCUGAGAGGGUGAUCGGCCACACUGGGACUGAGACACGGCCCAGACUCCUACGGGAGGCAGCAGUAGGGAAUCUUCGGCAAUGGACGCAAGUCUGACCGAGCAACGCCGCGUGAGUGAAGAAGGUUUUCGGAUUGUAAAACUCUGUUGUUAGAGAAGAACAAGGAUGAGAGUGGAAAGUUCAUCCCUUGACGGUAUCUAACCAGAAAGCCACGGCUAACUACGUG